AACGAACGCUGGCGGCAUGCCUAACACAUGCAAGUCGAACGAGACCUUCGGGUUUAGUGGCGCACGGGUGCGUAACGCGUGGGAAUCUACCCUUGGGUUCGGAAUAACAGUUAGAAAUGACUGCUAAUACCGGAUGAUGACGUAAGUCCAAAGAUUUAUCGCCCAAGGAUGAGCCCGCGUAAGAUUAGCUUGUUGGUGGGGUAAUGGCCUACCAAGGCGACGAUCUUUAGCUGGUCUGAGAGGAUGAUCAGCCACACUGGGACUGAGACACGGCCCAGACUCCUACGGGAGGCAGCAGUGGGGAAUAUUGGACAAUGGGCGAAAGCCUGAUCCAGCAAUGCCGCGUGAGUGAUGAAGGCCUUAGGGUUGUAAAGCUCUUUUACCAGGGAUGAUAAUGACAGUACCUGGAGAAUAAGCUCCGGCUAACUCCGUGCCAGCAGCCGCGGUAAUACGGAGGGAGCUAGCGUUGUUCGGAAUCACUGGGCGUAAAGCGUGCGUAGGCGGUGACUCAAGUCAGAGGUGAAAGCCUGGAGCUCAACUCCAGAACUGCCUUUGAAACUAGGUCGCUAGAACAUCGGAGAGGUGAGUGGAAUUCCGAGUGUAGAGGUGAAAUUCGUAGAUAUUCGGAAGAACACCAGUGGCGAAGGCGGCUCACUGGACGAUUGUUGACGCUGA
rnacentral:rRNA from 1 species